rnacentral:lncRNA from 1 species
AUGCCCUCACAUGAUGAGCUGACCAUAGCACCCCCGCCCAGGUCCUCCAUCGUGGGCACCGCUGUCCUCAGUGGACAGUGGCCACUCCUUAAGUGGUUGUGCCUGCUCAGUCCCCCAAGGGCCUGGGCCUCUCCCCCGCCACAAAGCCCCACCCUGGAAUUCGUGGCCAGGGCUGGGGGCAGGGCCUCAGACAGGCCCUCCGGGGAUGUCCUGUGUUUGCUGUGUGCUGAGUGUCCAUGGCCAUCCCAGGGCGUCCUGGCCUCCCAGAUAGGAUCAGGUGUGGGGGGGUGCAGACUGCAUGGCUGGGGCGCCCUGCACACCUCUGCCUGGCUUCCGUGUCUCUCCCACAGCCCCCCGACUGGGCGCAGAGAGGGUCGGCAGCACGCCCACAGGCACGCGGCAGCGGGCCGGGGUCCCAGCGGGCCGGGGUACUUUUGUGUGGUCUGGUUCUCCUGCUGGGAGCCCACCAGAGCUUGCCCGCUUCACCCACGGAGGCCCCUCUCUGACCCCCGGGGGCGUGACUCCAGCCCAGGUCAGAGGCCUAGAGGUGCCCACCUCUCCAGGAGGGGCUGCCCCUCCUAUUUGCAUGACACUGGGUCCUUUGUCCCCCUUCCCUGGCUAAUCACAGAAUUCCCGGCCUGUGAUGUCACAAUAGGCCCUUUCUGCCAGGGUCUGAGCUGGGUGGGCAGCUGUGUGCUAACGACCGGAGAGCUGGUGCCGGCUGGGCCUGCCGCUGCCUUCCUGUCUCCCCUUGUCUCUCGAGGGGGCUUCCCAGAUGGGUUUGUUCCCAUUUGGCAGUGGAGCGAAUCACAGAGGCUUUGGGGGGUGGUCCCGAACCCCUGUUUGUCUGUCCCUCCCUCCUCCCUAGGAACAGCUCUGAGCCGCCUCUUGGCCUGGGAAGUGGGGGUGAGUCAUCGCCGUGGGCGUGGGAGCCUCUGGCUUCCCGGAGGCUGGAGGGAGGCCUUGGCUGCCGGGUCCGCUCAGAAGGCCCCCUGGCGUGUGGCUCCGCUUCCUUGUCUGUCUCCCCCUCUGCAUGCUGGGUGCUGCCCUGGGCCUGGCUACGGGGCUGGGGAGCACUCUGGUUGA